rnacentral:rRNA from 1 species
AGUGAACGCUGGCGGUAGGCCUAACACAUGCAAGUCGAACGGCAGCACAGAGGAGCUUGCUCCUUGGGUGGCGAGUGGCGGACGGGUGAGGAAUACAUCGGAAUCUACUCUGUCGUGGGGGAUAACGUAGGGAAACUUACGCUAAUACCGCAUACGACCUACGGGUGAAAGCAGGGGAUCUUCGGACCUUGCGCGAUUGAAUGAGCCGAUGUCGGAUUAGCUAGUUGGCGGGGUAAAGGCCCACCAAGGCGACGAUCCGUAGCUGGUCUGAGAGGAUGAUCAGCCACACUGGAACUGAGACACGGUCCAGACUCCUACGGGAGGCAGCAGUGGGGAAUAUUGGACAAUGGGCGCAAGCCUGAUCCAGCCAUACCGCGUGGGUGAAGAAGGCCUUCGGGUUGUAAAGCCCUUUUGUUGGGAAAGAAAUCCAGCCGGCUAAUGCCUGGUUGGGAUGACGGUACCCAAAGAAUAAGCACCGGCUAACUUCGUG